rnacentral:tRNA from 1 species
UCAAACUAUCCUUAUAGAAGGUUUAUUGUUUACACCAAUGAUAUGAUCGUGCGAUUCGAUCUUGUUUGAU